rnacentral:rRNA from 1 species
UGAGUAACACGUAAGUAAUCUACCUUCGAGUGGGGAAUAACGUUCGGAAACGAACGCUAAUACCGCAUAAUGCAGCGGCAUCGUAAGAUGACAGUUGUUAAAGAUUUAUCGCUUGAAGAGGAGCUUGCGGCAGAUUAGCUAGUUGGUAAGGUAAUGGCUUACCAAGGCUACGAUCUGUAACCGGUCUAAGAGGACGGUCGGUCACACUGACACUGAAUAACGGGUCAG